CCUACGGGGGGCUGCAGUCGAGAAUCUUCCGCAAUGGACGAAAGUCUGACGGAGCGACGCCGCGUGAUUGAUGACGCACUUCGGUGUGUAAAGAUCUUUUAUGAGGGAAGAAGUUUAUUGACGGUACCUCAUGAAUAAGGGGCUCCUAAUCUCGUGCCAGCAGGAGCGGUAAUACGAGAGCCCCGAGCGUUAUCCGGAAUUAUUGGGCGUAAAGGGUGCGUAGGUGGUUGUGUUAGUCGUUUGUCAAAUCCUUGGGCUUAACCCAAGAACCGCGAACGAAACGGCACAACUUGAGAAUGUGAGGGGUAAAGGGAACUCAUGGUGUAGGGGUGAAAUCCGUUGAUAUCAUGGGGAACACCAAAAGCGAAGGCACUUUACUGGCACAUUUCUGACACUCAAGCACGAAAGCGUGGGUAGCGAAUGGGAUUAGAUACCCCGGUAGUC
rnacentral:rRNA from 1 species